UACGUAGGGGGCAAGCGUUGUCCGGAAUCAUUGGGCGUAAAGAGCGUGUAGGCGGUCCGGUAAGUCGGCUGUGAAAGUCCAGGGCUCAACCCUGGAAAGCGGGUGGAUACUGCCGGGCUAGAAUCCGGAAGAGGCGAGUGGAAUUCCUGGUGUAGCGGUGGAAUGCGCAGAUAUCAGGAGGAACACCAAUAGCGAAGGCAGCUCGCUGGGACGGUAUUGACGCUGAGGCGCGAAAGCGUGGGGAGCAAACAGG
rnacentral:rRNA from 1 species